rnacentral:rRNA from 1 species
UUCCGGUUGAUCCUGCCAGAGGUUACUGCUAUCGGGGUCCGACUAAGCCAUGCGAGUUGAGAGGGGUAAGCCCUCGGCAUAUUGCUCAGUAACACGCGGAUAACCUGCCCUUGGGUUUGGGAUAACCCCGGGAAACUGGGACUAAUACCGGAUAGAUCAAAGAAACUGGAAUGUUCUCUGAUCGAAAGCUCCGGCGCCCAAGGAUGGGUCUGCGGCCUAUCAGGUAGUAGUGGGUGUAACGUACCUACUAGCCUACGACGGGUAAGGGUUGUGAGAGCAAGAGCCCUGAGAUGGAUUCUGAGACAUGAAUCCAGGCCCUACGGGGUGCAGCAGGCGCGAAAACUUUACACUGCGGGAAACCGCGAUAAGGGGACCCCGAGUGCCAGCACCUAGUGCUGGCUGUCCAGCUGUUCAAAUAACAGUUGUUAGCAAGGGCCGGGCAAGACCGGUGCCAGCCGCCGCGGUAACACCGGCGGCCCGAGUGGUAGCCGUUAUUAUUGGGUUUAAAGGGUCCGUAGCCGGCCUAUUAAGUCUCUUGGGAAAUCUGGCGACUCAAUCGUCAGGCGUUCAAGAGAUACUGGUAGGCUUGGGACCGGGAGAGGUGGGAGGUACUCCAGGGGUAGGGGUGAAAUCUCGUAAUCCUUGGGGGACCACCGAUGGCGAAGGCAUCCCACCAGAACGGGUCCGACGGUGAGGGACGAAAGCUGGGGGCACGAACCGGAUUAGAUACCCGGGUAGUCCCAGCCGUAAACGAUGCUCGCUAGGUGUCAGGUGCGGUGCGACCGCAUCUGGUGCCGCAGUGAAAACUUGAAGCGAGUCACCUGGGAAGUACGGUCGCAAGGCUGAAACUUAAAGGAAUUGGCGGGGGAGCACUACAACGGGUGGAGCCUGCGGUUCAAUUGGAUUCAACGCCGGA